UUUUGUUAUUGAUUCGUCGACUGUCAUUCAUUAUCCACCGCUUUCGUUUGUCGGACUACUCUGAAUCCUCGUCAAACCAACAGAAAACUAUGGACAACUUUCAAUGUUUUUAUUGCAAUGCAAAAGGUUUUGCAUCAGUUGGAGAGUUUACUCAACACGCGGGUGAU